rnacentral:rRNA from 1 species
CCUACGGGUGGCAGCAGUGAGGAAGAUUGGUCAAUGGACGAGAGUCUGAACCAGCCAAGUAGCGUGAAGGAUGACUGCCCUAGGGGUUGUAAACUUCUUUUAUAAAGGAAUAAAACGAGGCACGUGUGCCUUUUUGCAUGUACUUUAUGAAUAAGGAUCGGCUAACUCCGGUCCAGCAGCCGCGGGAAUACGGAGGAUCCGAGCGUUAUCCGGAUUUAUUGGGUUUAAAGGGAGCGUAGAUGGGUUGUUAAGUCAGGUGUGAAAGUUUGCGGCUCAACCGUAAAAUUGCAAUUGAUACUGGCAGUCUGGAGUACAGUUGAGGUAGGCGGAAUUCGUGGUGUAGCGGUGAAAUGCUUAGAUAUCACGAAGAACCCCGAUUGCGAAGGCAGCUUACUAAACUGUGACUGACAUUGAUGCUCGAAAGUGUGGGUAUCAAACAGGAUUAGAUACCCCUGUAGUC